AAAGAGUCCCUCCCGACUGUUUACCAAAAACACAGCACUUUGCCAACUCGUAAGAGGAAGUAUAAGGUGUGACGCCUGCCCGGUGCUCGAAGGUUAAGAGGAUGCGUCAGUCGCAAGAUGAAGCGUUGAAUUGAAGCCCGAGUAAACGGCGGCCGUAACUAUAACGGUCCUAAGGUAGCGAAAUUCCUUGUCGGUUAAAUACCGACCUGCAUGAAUGGCGUAACGAGAUGGGAGCUGUCUCAACCAGAGAUUCAGUGAAAUUGUAGUGGAGGUGAAAAUUCCUCCUACCCGCGGCAAGACGGAAAGACCCCGUGGACCUUUACUACAACUUAGCACUGCUAAUGGGAAUAUCAUGCGCAGGAUAGGUGGGAGGCUUUGAAGUAAGGGCUUUGGCUCUUAUGGAGCCAUCCUUGAGAUACCACCCUUGGUGUUUCUGUUAGCUAACUGGCCUGUGUUAUCCACAGGCAGGACAAUGCUUGGUGGGUAGUUUGACUGGGGCGGUC
rnacentral:rRNA from 1 species